AAAACCCUAGUUUCUUGUAGUCUUGUCAUUAAUCUCAAUCUUGCAUUGCCUUUGAGAUCAACAUAUACUUUAGAAAAGCAUGCAUAACUCAAUCUAUCCAAUUAAGGUGGGAUCAACAUAUACUUUAGAAAAGCAUGCAUAACUCAAUCAAUGCAAUUAAGGUGAUACAAAAUGUUAUGGAACUCGUAAGGCUUUCAUAUUCAACUGGUUUCAUGCAAAUAUAAUUAUUAGAGACUUCGGAAUAUUAUUUUAAAAUCCAGGGGCAGAUUGUGGAAUUCUCAGCAGUGGUCAAUUUUGAAAAUUUGUAACUCACAAUCCAUGAAGACCUGUGCAAGAUACUUUACAUGAAAAUAAACCUCAUAACAUGAUCCAUUGAUGUGUAAAAUUUCACAAUUUUAUAUAGAAAUUUCGUACAUAAAAUAGCACGUACAAGAAAUCUGACCUGUAGCAGAAGAAAAUUCUGCAUUAAUUCAAAAUUUAUUUUUCAAGCUUUAACUUAUAAAAUAUGUUUCCAACAUAAAAACCAAACAUAAUCCUCGACAAAACCGCAUAAUAUCGUACUUCAUGAAUCCAAAUAAUACUUUGAAACAUUUGAACUAACUCAAAUAAAUAGUUUACUUAAACA
rnacentral:lncRNA from 1 species